AUACGGAGGGGGCUAGCGUUGUUCGGAAUUACUGGGCGUAAAGCGCGCGUAGGCGGUUUGCCAAGUCAGGCGUGAAAUCCCCGGGCUCAACCUGGGAACUGCGUUUGAUACUGGCAGACUAGAGGCCGGGAGAGGGUAGUGGAAUUCCCAGUGUAGAGGUGAAAUUCGUAGAUAUUGGGAAGAACACCGGUGGCGAAGGCGGCUACCUGGACCGGUUCUGACGCUGAGGUGCGAAAGCGUGGGGAGCAAACAGGAUUAGAUACCCCAGUAGUCC
rnacentral:rRNA from 1 species